rnacentral:piRNA from 1 species
UGGGAGCAUUUGGGUUUCAUGGCUGUGGA